CAUGUGAUUCAAUGCCAUCUCCAAGAAGCUCAUCAUUAUCUUCAUAACCUGACAUCUGUAUAAGAAGAUGAAAGAAUACCAGUUAGAAAAUAGAGAGAAUAUGAAUAUCAACAAGAAACACUAAUAAUAAAGUCAUCCUAGCACCCAAACACUAAACGUUAAACCCGGAAAUUGAUUUCCAGAGAAACCCUAAAUCUCAAAUCCAUCUCGAAUCCUAAACUGAAAAUGGACAAACAACCCUUAUGAAACACUAUAACAUUUAUAAUUGAUUUUUCUUUCAACCCAAAUCGAAAACCCCUAAUCGAUUUUGGAAAGAAACCCUAAUUCUCAAAUCAAUCUCAAACAUCAAACAGUCUGAACCACAACCUGAAAACCGACAUAGAACUAGAGAAACAGAAGUAGAAGCUUACUUAGUGGUCAGAAUCAAACAAAGAAGACGAGUAACUCGGAUUUCAGAAUCGACGAAAUGAAGAAGAGAGAAGCUCCGGUUUGAGAGAAAGAGAAAAGGGAUUAGGUUAACUGAUUAUGUUUAGGUUAGCCCACAAAAUAAGUUAAAAUUCAGAUAACUGAUUGGAACUUAAAGAACCGAACCGAUGCAAUAACCGAAGAUGUUUUAAACAUCUGCUGAUCGGUGUUUUUCCUAACCGAACAAGAACCGAAAUCCACAAUCUUCGGUUCGAUUCGGAAUUGCAGGGCUAAGUUGUAUAAUACUACUUCUCUUAAAUUAAAUGCAUUUUAAAAUCCAAAAACACUCUCAAGAGAAAAAAUCUCAAUAAACUUGUGUAAGGUUCAAUACUAUUUAUUAGUAUAACAAGAUUUAUUAGUAUAAUUACUAUUAUUAAGAAAACAAGAUUAUUAUUUUUAUUCAAAAACUAAAAAGUUAUUUGAAUAUUUUUAUUUGGAGAAUAUAUAUAAGCAUUUGAUUCCUUUUCACCAACCGAGAGCCUUCGCGAUUUACUCUGCAACGACCGCAAUCAAUCACCUUCGCUAAUUCUCCUAGAUCGCUACAAUGGACUCUCACUCUUCUCACCUCAACGCAGCAAAUCGUUAUAAUUAUAUAUAUAUAUAUAGUAUAUAUUAAUUUUGGUUUUUCUGUAUUGACAAUAAUCUCGCCCAGCUUUUCUACAUAGAUUUUAUAAUUUUAGGUUAUCAUAAAAUUUAUUUAUGGCUCUAAUUUUGGCUAAUAAGUAAGAUGGAGGAAGAAGGGGGUAUUUGAAAACAAUAGAAAGAAAAACAAGAUACGGCCAAAGAAAUAAAGUUAGAACCCUCAACUGAAAUGACUGAAGUCGUGUACCAGAUGAUCUGACAUACUUGACAUCAUUCCUAAUAGCUACUACACUCUCUUUCACCUUAGCUAGACCAUCCUUGACUAUCAUGUUCAGUAUAUGUACACAACAACGCAUAUGUAAUAAUUCACUAUCCUUGAUUAGAGCAUUAGGUCCUAGUUGUCUACAAGCUUCAGUGAACAAACGCAGUGGCGCCUUGUCAUUGCCUUUAGCAUUGUCCACUGUCACUGUGAACACCUUUUCAAUUCCCCGAUCUGCUAGACAUUGACUCAGAUGCUCAGCAAUGGUGUCUCCUUUGUGAUAUGUCACAUGUUUAAACUGAAUCCUUUUCUGCAUAUCCCAGUUUCUAUCAAUCCAAUGCGUUGUGACUACCAUGUAGCUGUAGGAUGUUGUCGGAGCUGUCCAAAUGUCAGUGGUUAAGGAGACUCUCUUCUUCUCAGAAGAAAACAACUGCUUCAAACUCGAUUUAUCUUUCAUAAACAUGCCAAAUAUAUCCUUUGUUGCUGUCCUUCUGCAGUGAACCGUAUACAUGGGCAAGACAUUGUGACAGAACCUCCUAAACCCCUCGGAUUCCACAAAAGAAAAUGGCAGCUCAUUCAACACAAUCAUCUCAUUCACAGAUCUCCUAAACAACCUAGCAUCGUACGUAACCCCAAUAACUACACCACUACUAUCAGUUCCUAAACCCUGCUGACUACCACUUGCCUCAAAAGCUUUGAACAACUUACACCGAGCAAUAUGAUUCUUCAUAGCGCUAGUCCCACUCUUUUUGGUGUUGCAUCCGAUCUCUUGGCCACAGUAGCGACAAUUGCAGAGGCCCAGGUUAUCUUCAUGUUGAUUGAAGUGUUGCCACACCGUCGCUCUAUGAGCUAGCCUUUUCUUUGGAACUGGAGGAAGGUCAGAACUCGAUCUCUCUGAAGCCGAUCUUUUCUUUCCAGUAGCUACAUUUCCAUGUGAUUCAAUGCCAUCUCCAAGAAGCUCAUCAUUAUCUUCAUAACCUGACAUCUGUAUAAGAAGAUGAAAGAAUACCAGUUAGAAAAUAGAGAGAAUAUGAAUAUCAACAAGAAACACUAAUAAUAAAGUCAUCCUAGCACCCAAACACUAAACGUUAAACCCGGAAAUUGAUUUCCAGAGAAACCCUAAAUCUCAAAUCCAUCUCGAAUCCUAAACUGAAAAUGGACAAACAACCCUUAUGAAACACUAUAACAUUUAUAAUUGAUUUUUCUUUCAACCCAAAUCGAAAACCCCUAAUCGAUUUUGGAAAGAAACCCUAAUUCUCAAAUCAAUCUCAAACAUCAAACAGUCUGAACCACAACCUGAAAACCGACAUAGAACUAGAGAAACAGAAGUAGAAGCUUACUUAGUGGUCAGAAUCAAACAAAGAAGACGAGUAACUCGGAUUUCAGAAUCGACGAAAUGAAGAAGAGAGAAGCUCCGGUUUGAGAGAAAGAGAAAAGGGAUUAGGUUAACUGAUUAUGUUUAGGUUAGCCCACAAAAUAAGUUAAAAUUCAGAUAACUGAUUGGAACUUAAAGAACCGAACCGAUGCAAUAACCGAAGAUGUUUUAAACAUCUGCUGAUCGGUGUUUUUCCUAACCGAACAAGAACCGAAAUCCACAAUCUUCGGUUCGAUUCGGAAUUGCAGGGCUAAGUUGUAUAAUACUACUUCUCUUAAAUUAAAUGCAUUUUAAAAUCCAAAAACACUCUCAAGAGAAAAAAUCUCAAUAAACUUGUGUAAGGUUCAAUACUAUUUAUUAGUAUAACAAGAUUUAUUAGUAUAAUUACUAUUAUUAAGAAAACAAGAUUAUUAUUUUUAUUCAAAAACUAAAAAGUUAUUUGAAUAUUUUUAUUUGGAGAAUAUAUAUAAGCAUUUGAUUCCUUUUCACCAACCGAGAGCCUUCGCGAUUUACUCUGCAACGACCGCAAUCAAUCACCUUCGCUAAUUCUCCUAGUUCUCCAGGAUCGAUCGCUACAAUGGACUCUCACUCUUCUCACCUCAACGCAGCAAAUCGUUCUCGCAGCUCUCAAACUCCAUCUCCUUCCCACUCCGCCUCCGUCUCUUCAUCCCUCCACAAACGCAAACUCGCCGCGUCUGAGGAUCACGCUCCUCCCUCCUCCAACGACGACCUCGAGAGCAUCUCCGCG
rnacentral:lncRNA from 1 species